rnacentral:rRNA from 1 species
GAUGAACGCUAGCGGCAGGCUUAAUACAUGCAAGUCGAACGGGAAUUGGGUAGCAAUACCUGAUGAUAGUGGCGCACGGGUGCGUAACGCGUAUGCAACCUACCUUUAACAGGGGGAUAGCCCGGAGAAAUUCGGAUUAAUACCCCAUAGUAUUAUGGAGAGGCAUCUUUUCAUGAUUAAAGUUCCGGCGGUUAAAGAUGGGCAUGCGUGCCAUUAGCUAGUUGGUGAGGUAACGGCUCACCAAGGCGACGAUGGUUAGGGGUCCUGAGAGGGUUAUCCCCCACACUGGUACUGAGACACGGACCAGACUCCUACGGGAGGCAGCAGUAAGGAAUAUUGGUCAAUGGGCGGAAGCCUGAACCAGCCAUGCCGCGUGCAGGAAGACGGCCUUAUGGGUUGUAAACUGCUUUUGUCAGGGAAUAAACCCUCGUUUGCGAACGAGGCUGAAGGUACCUGAAGAAUAAGCAUCGGCUAACUCCGUGCCAGCAGCCGACGGUAAAACGUAG